GCAAGUCGAGCGGUAAGCUAACUUCGGUUAGCCUAGAGCGGCGGACGGGUGAGUAACGCGUAGGAAUCUACCUAGUAGAAGGGGAUAGCCCGGGGAAACCCGGAUUAAUACCGUAUACCUCCUUUGGGAGAAAGAAGGCCUCUCUUUAGAAGCUUUCGCUACUAGAUGAGCCUGCGUAAGAUUAGCUUGUUGGUGAGGUAAAGGCUCACCAAGGCGACGAUCUUUAGCUGGUCUGAGAGGACGAUC
rnacentral:rRNA from 1 species